rnacentral:rRNA from 1 species
UGGGGAAUAUUGCACAAUGGGCGAAAGCCUGAUGCAGCAACGCCGCGUGAGUGAUGAAGGCCUUCGGGUUGUAAAGCUCUGUCUUUUGGGACGAUAAUGACGGUACCAAAGGAGGAAGCCACGGCUAACUACGUGCCAGCAGCCGCGGUAAUACGUAGGUGGCAAGCGUUGUCCGGAUUUACUGGGCGUAAAGGAUGCGUAGGCGGAUUUUUAAGUGAGAUGUGAAAUACCCGGGCUUAACUUGGGUGCUGCAUUUCAAACUGGGAAUCUAGAGUGCGGGAGAGGAGAAUGGAAUUCCUAGUGUAGCGGUGAAAGUGCGUAGAGAUUAGGAAGAACACCAGUGGCGAAGGCGAUUCUCUGGACCGUAACUGACGCUGAGGCAUGAAAGCGUGGGUAGCAAACAGGAUUAGAUACCCUGGUAGUCCACGCCGUAAACGAUGAGUACUAGGUGUAGGAGGUAUCGACCCCUUCUGUGCCGCAGUUAACACAAUAAGUACUCCGCCUGGGAAGUACGAUCGCAAGA